ensembl:snoRNA
AUGGGUUGAAAAUCACCCCAGCUUUGGCCAUGGCUAUGGGUGAGAUUCUGAGCCUAGAGCCACCAGGGGUCUCAGCUCACCUUCCACUGCUUCGAUGUGGGGAGGUGAAACCCAGGCCUUGACAGGG